rnacentral:rRNA from 1 species
AUUGAACGCUGGCGGCAUGCCUUACACAUGCAAGUCGAACGGUAACGCGGGGCAACCUGGCGACGAGUGGCGAACGGGUGAGUAAUAUAUCGGAACGUGCCCAAUAGUGGGGGAUAGCCCGGCGAAAGCCGGAUUAAUACCGCAUACGACCUGAGGGUGAAAGCGGGGGAUCGCAAGACCUCGCGCUAUUGGAGCGGCCGAUAUCAGAUUAGGUAGUUGGUGGGGUAAAGGCCUACCAAGCCUACGAUCUGUAGCUGGUCUGAGAGGACGACCAGCCACACUGGGACUGAGACACGGCCCAGACUCCUACGGGAGGCAGCAGUGGGGAAUCUUGGACAAUGGGCGCAAGCCUGAUCCAGCCAUGCCGCGUGAGUGAAGAAGGCCUUCGGGUUGUUAAAGGCUCUUUCGGUGGGUAAGAAAUUGCUUCGGUUAAGUACCUGGAGUAGAUGAC